rnacentral:rRNA from 1 species
AGUGAACGCUGGCGGUAGGCCUAACACAUGCAAGUCGAACGGCAGCACAGUAAGAGCUUGCUCUUACGGGUGGCGAGUGGCGGACGGGUGAGGAAUACAUCGGAAUCUACUUUUUCGUGGGGGAUAACGUAGGGAAACUUACGCUAAUACCGCAUACGACCUACGGGUGAAAGCAGGGGAUCUUCGGACCUUGCGCGAUUGAAUGAGCCGAUGUCGGGUUAGCUAGUUGGCGGGGUAAAGGCCCACCAAGGCGACGAUCGGUAGCUGGUCUGAGAGGAUGAUCAGCCACAUUGGAGCUGAGACACGGACCAGACUCCUAAGGGAGGCAGCAGUGGGGAAUAUUGGACAAUGGGCGCAAGCCUGCUCCAGCCAUACCGCGUGGGUGAAGAAGGCCUUCGGGUUGUAAAGCCCUUUUGUUGGGAAAGAAAAGCAGCAGGUUAAUACCCCGCGGUUCUGACGGUACCCAAAGAAUAAGCACCGGCUAACUUCGUG